rnacentral:rRNA from 1 species
UACGGAGGGUGCGAGCGUUGUUCGGAAUCAUUGGGCGUAAAGCGCGUGUAGGCGGCUUGGUAAGUCGGGUGUGAAAUCCCGGGGCUCAACCCCGGAACUGCAUUCGAUACUGCCUCGCUAGAGUCCCGGAGAGGAAGGCGGAAUUCCCGGUGUAGAGGUGAAAUUCGUAGAUAUCGGGAGGAACACCAGCGGCGAAGGCGGCCUUCUGGACGGUGACUGACGCUGAGACGCGAAAGCGUGGGGAGCAAACAGG